rnacentral:rRNA from 1 species
CCUACGGGUGGCUGCAGUGAGGAAUAUUGGUCAAUGGGCGAGAGCCUGAACCAGCCAAGUCGCGUGAGGGAAGACGGUUCUAUGGAUUGUAAACCUCUUUUGCCGGGGAGCAAAAAGCGGUACGUGUACCGCAUCGACAGUACCCGGAGAAACAGCCUCGGCUAACUCUGUGCCAGCAGCCGCGGUAAUACGGGGGAUGCGAGCGUUAUCAGGCUUUAUUGGGUUUAAAGGGUGCGCAGGCGGCGAGAUAAGUCCGCGGUAAAAUUUUGGGGCUAAACCCGGAGGAGCCGUUGAAACUGGCUUGCUAGAGUGGGCGAGAAGUAUGCGGAAUGCGUGGUGUAGCGGUGAAAUACAUAGAUAUCACGCAGAACUCCGAUUGCGAAGGCAGCAUACCGGCGCCCAACUGACGCUCAGGCACGAAAGCGUGGGUAUCGAACAGGAUUAGAUACCCGAGUAGUC